rnacentral:rRNA from 1 species
UACGAAGGGGGCUAGCGUUGCUCGGAAUCACUGGGCGUAAAGGGUGCGUAGGCGGGUCUUUAAGUCAGGGGUGAAAUCCUGGAGCUCAACUCCAGAACUGCCUUUGAUACUGAGGAUCUUGAGUCCGGGAGAGGUGAGUGGAACUGCGAGUGUAGAGGUGAAAUUCGUAGAUAUUCGCAAGAACACCGGCGGCGAAGGCGGCCAACUGGACGAACACUGACGCUGAGACACGAAAGCGUGGGGAGCAAACAGG